ACACUCCUACGGGAGGCAGCAGUGGGGAAUUUUGGACAAUGGGCGAAAGCCUGAUCCAGCAAUGCCGCGUGUGUGAAGAAGGCCUUCGGGUUGUAAAGCACUUUUGUCCGGAAAGAAAUCCUUGGCUCUAAUACAGUCGGGGGAUGACGGUACCGGAAGAAUAAGCACCGGCUAACUACGUGCCAGCAGCCGCGGUAAUACGUAGGGUGCGAGCGUUAAUCGGAAUUACUGGGCGUAAAGCGUGCGCAGGCGGUUUGCUAAGACCGAUGUGAAAUCCCCGGGCUCAACCUGGGAACUGCAUUGGUGACUGGCAGGCUAGAGUAUGGCAGAGGGGGGUAGAAUUCCACGUGUAGCAGUGAAAUGCGUAGAGAUGUGGAGGAAUACCGAUGGCGAAGGCAGCCCCCUGGGCCAAUACUGACGCUCAUGCACGAAAGCGUGGGGAGCAAACAGGAUUAGAUACCCCAGUAGUCCCAU
rnacentral:rRNA from 1 species